rnacentral:lncRNA from 1 species
AUUUUUUUGCUUUAAUAAUUCAGUGUUCUGAAAAGCCUCUUUAGCCAUUGAUCUGGCCGCACUUGAGCAAGCUUUUGUUUAAGAAAAUGGUUUAAAAUAUCUCCAUAUGCCAAAUUUGAUGAAAUUGUUUUAGAAGGCAGGCCUUGGGACAACAGUAUGUUGCACUGCUGUGAGCUGGACGUCAUAGGCUAGAGUUUUGGUGAAAGCGUAGAAGUUGGAUGAUUAUCUUGUAAAGACAAAGGGUGUUACUGAUGUGGCGAAUUCCCUUUUUUCUUGAAGACUUGUACACCAAUCCCAGUUUAAUCGAUUGAAUCCUAAAUCAAAUAUCAAAAUCAUAACUCACAUAUUGAAAAUAAAAUGGUUCUAAAACAAAAUCCUUUAUACUCAUCAAGAAAUUCGAAAUCGAAUUUCAAUUCAGAGCUCCAACCAUGGCUUAUUCCGGCCAACAACAUCACAACAACCUUACGAGGACAUCGUCAUCGAAUUCUGACUCGGAUUUACCGUUUCAGCAAAAGACUUGGUCAUACUGCUAUUGCUAGUCAAGGCGCUAUGUUUUUUCACACUUGCAAUUCUUCUGUUGCUGACCCUCGACUCCAAUUUUAAUUCGACUCCCGUUUCUGCUACUUCUGAAAGUGUUCAGGUAAUUGAUCACUCUUUAUUUGAUUCAUCAUACAGGUUGAUUGAUUAUUUGAUUGGUAUAUGAACACUUGAGGUCUGAGAAAUGAUUUGAAAAUUCAGUUUAAUUACGGGGAUUUUUUAUUAGAAAGGAAAUAGUUGAAUGUUUCAAGAAGUUACGGAAAAUACUUAGUAAUAUGUAUUUAUUAGUUUAUAUGUACUUGUGAAGUUUGAUUGAAGGGGAAGAACAUGGGAAAUAAUAUGUUGUACGAUUAAUUUCCAUAUGAAAUAUUUCAGUAGUGUCCACAAAAGUGGAUAUCUAACAUGAGACUCUUUUUAAACAUAAAACUCUGUUUUAUUUUUAAAAAAAUUAAUUUUAAAAUUAUACUCUAAAAAACUCUUUAAAUUAACAUUUUAAUUUGGAGAGUGAGUUUAAAUCCACUCCCUUUUUCAAUUUUCAACGAAGGAAAAUAAUAUAAUAAUUUGGAGAGAAUCUAGUAAAAAUAAAUAAUAGGGAAAAAUAAAAAUAAAAUUUGCAAGUAGCAAAAAGAAAUGUUAAAUAUAAAAAACUUGUUAGAGUACUUCAAUUUUUACUCUAAAUUUAUAUAUAAUCUGUAAAUUGUAAAAUACGCUCUUUAAAAGUAGAGUUUCUUGUAGAUGCUCUUACAAUUUUAAACAUUCCCCCUUUCAAUCAAAAAAUAAAAAAUAAAAAAAUCAAUUAUAACUAUUGCUAGUCAAUAAUUAAAAAAACCAAAACUAGGGUUUAUGAAGAGACUUUGGAUCGUUUGUAUAGUCUCUUAGUAAAACAUUGGCAAGUUUUUAAUGGUAAAUUUGUCUGAUCAAGGUAGAGCACCCGCUUCCUCAUAGAGAUAUAAAUGUUUUUCUGUUUAUCCUCAUCUAUUUUUCUUCCUUUCUCUUUCUCUUUAUUCUCUGCUUGACUUUGGCCACUAUCAUAGAAGAUGAGAAAUUUAAUCACAAAGUCGAACCUUGAAAGAGAAUAGAUUGAUAUUGAAGUAAUAGAUGAUGCUGAUAUCUGGAUUGAUUACUUCAGUGGCAGUGUGUAAACUCACACGCCGAUUUCCCUGCUUUCCAGAUUCCUUGAUUUUAAUUUAGUAUUUGCUUCUAUCUCUUGUUACUUAAAUUGAGAUGAGUAGUUAUUUAACAAAGUACCUUUAAUACUUCUUGAAUAAAAAUCCAACCAUAAAUUGAUAAAAUCAAAUGCAUGUGCAGGUGAGUUGAUUUGGAGGUGAUGGUGAAUCUGACACUGGGAAUUACUGGAGGUAUUACCUUUUGUCUCGAUUCUUCUGAAUUUUAUCAGAUGUUUAUGGUCAGAAACAGAUCUUGUAUUUACCUCUUAUAUACUUUAUGGUAUAGCAGACUUGAUAUCGAAGGAAGUUGGAAAACAGGGUGGCAAGAUCAGAGGGUAAGGCUUCGCCGUGUGGACACUGGUGGGGAGUAUAAGUGCAUUUCGCGCACUUAUUUAUGCCAUAUUACUAAACUUUUAUGUCGCCAAAUCAUUAAUUUCUACUUAAUUUGAGUUAAUUUUCUUUUGUUUUUAGUGAUGGACUCGUUUGAAGCAAUUGGAAAAUAAAGAAGGAUAAAUUGGUAAUUGGAUGGAAGUUUGUAGAUAAUAUUCCACACCUUAAGGAAUUGAGGACUUGAAGAAGAUUGUACAUUAAAUGGACCUAGCAUGACUUUUACUUGGGCUGAAAUUCACUUGCAAUUGGAAAACCUAGGACAAUUAAAAACAGAGAAUGAGCAUACACGCUGCUGGAAAUAAAAAAGUAGUAGCGUGUUGAUAUAUAUACACACACACAAGAGACACAAGGGGACAGCAUACACGCAAAGGAAAGAAAGCAAAGUCAGCGGCUGGCUGUUGGAGAAAAUAACAUAGGAAUAUAUACACGCAGAGCCAACUGAAAAAGGGAUGAAAAUUGAAUACAUUAAUCACGUUUCGUUGAUUUUUGGUAAUGUCUUUUAUAUUUUCUUCGUUUAAUCUCGACAUUAUGUUUGACAA